rnacentral:rRNA from 1 species
AACGAACGCUGGCGGCAUGCCUAACACAUGCAAGUCGAACGAAACCUUCGGGUCUAGUGGCGCACGGGUGCGUAACGCGUGGGAACCUGCCCUUAGGUUCGGAAUAACUCCCCGACAGGGGUGCUAAUACCGGAUAAUGUCUUCGGACCAAAGAUUUAUCGCCUUUGGAUGGGCACGCGUUGGAUUAGCUAGUUGGUAGGGUAAAAGCAUACCAAGGCGACGAUCCAUAGCUGGUCUGAGAGGCUGAUCAGCCACACUGGGACUGAGACACGGCCCAGACUCCUACGGGAGGCAGCAGUGGGGAAUAGUGGACAAUGGGCGAAAGCCUGAUCCAGCAAUGCCGCGUGAGUGAUGAAGGCCUUAGGGUUGUAAAGCUCUUUUACCCGGGAUGAUAAUGACAGUACCGGGAGAAUAAGCUCCGGCUAACUCCGUG